ACAUCCAGAGAACUUAGCAGAGAUGCUUUGGUGCCUUCGGGAACUCUGAGACAGGUGCUGCAUGGCUGUCGUCAGCUCGUGUUGUGAAAUGUUGGGUUAAGUCCCCGNAACGAGCGCAACCCCUAUCCUUUGUUGCCAGCGAUUCGGUCGGGAACUCAAAGGAGACUGCCGGUGAUAAACCGGAGGAAGGUGGGGAUGACGUCAAGUCAUCAUGGCCCUUACGAGUAGGGCUACACACGUGCUACAAUGGCGCAUACAAAGAGAAGCGACCUCGCGAGAGCAAGCGGACCUCAUAAAGUGCGUCGUAGUCCGGAUUGGAGUCUGCAACUCGACUCCAUGAAGUCGGAAUCGCUAGUAAUCGUAGAUCAGAAUGCUACGGUGAAUACGUUCCCGGGCCUUGUACACACCGCCCGUCACACCAUGGGAGUGGGUUGCAAAAGAAGUAGAUAGCUUAACCUUCGGGAGGGCGUUUACCACUUUGUGAUUCAUGACUGGGGUGAAGUCGUAACAAGGUAAGCGUACGUGU
rnacentral:rRNA from 1 species